GCUGAAAAGCUAGCCCACGCCCCCAAAAACAACAAAUCACUAUUUAUAACCCCAAACAGAUUAACCCAUCAGUUAACAAAUCAUUUUUCCCCCUUAGUAUAGGCGAUAGAAAAGGGACCCUGGAGCCAUAGAAAAAGUACCGCAAGGGAAAGCUGAAAGAGAAAUGAAACAACCCAGUCAAGCAUAAAAAAGCAGAGAUUUUGACU
rnacentral:rRNA from 1 species